GAUAAUAUAUCUCAUGCACUCUUCAUUCGAAGCCUGUUGUGUUUCCCCAGUCGAGUAAGAUUCGUUAUUCCUUUUUGUGGAAUCGAAUGUUCCUUUGUUCUUGGAUAAUUGUCGGAUGCUUGCAAUUUAUCCCCUGUGAGUUAUCUUUCGUUUACCCUGUUGUUGUUGGUAUCGACCGUCUCUCUUUUUGGUUGAUCACCUAUCAUAUACCCUGUAACCGGUAUCUCUGGUGUCUCUUC
rnacentral:lncRNA from 1 species